CUAAUCCUAACUGAAUAUGAUUUCCCUUUACUUUAAAACCUUUUAAUAUCCCUCCUUUGAUAAUAAGUUAAAUUCAUAUCUCUAAGAGAAACGAAAAGGAAGGUGUUUCAACAAUCUGUGGAGAAUCUUGUGUGAAGCUACAAGGAUUAAAGUCUGUCAUACAGCCAGAAAUGGAAGGAUCUUCCUGAACUUUUUUCAACACAAUCUCAGCCAUGAGUAUUGAAGGAAUAUUGCUUUCUAAAACCAAAAUAUAAGAACCCAUUACACCUGUUAAAUAUCCCUAGUUUUUUUCUGUAAUAAAACUUCUGCUAUAAUUUUGAAAUCUUUGUCA
rnacentral:lncRNA from 1 species